GUGCUAUACAUGCAGUCGAGCGAACAGAUGAGAAGCUUGCUUCUCUGAUGUUAGCGGCGGACGGGUGAGUAACACGUGGGUAACCUACCUAUAAGACUGGGAUAACUCCGGGAAACCGGGGCUAAUACCGGAUAAUAUUUUGAACCGCAUGGUUCAAUAGUGAAAGACGGUUUCGGCUGUCACUUAUAGAUGGACCCGCGCCGUAUUAGCUAGUUGGUAAGGUAACGGCUUACCAAGGCGACGAUACGUAGCCGACCUGAGAGGGUGAUCGGCCACACUGGAACUGAGACACGGUCCAGACUCCUACGGGAGGCAGCAGUAGGGAAUCUUCCGCAAUGGGCGAAAGCCUGACGGAGCAACGCCGCGUGAGUGAUGAAGGUCUUCGGAUCGUAAAACUCUGUUGUUAGGGAAGAACAAAUUUGUUAGUAACUGAACAAGUCUUGACGGUACCUAACCAGAAAGCCACGGCUAACUACGUGCCAGCAGCCGCGGUAAUACGUAGGUGGCAAGCGUUAUCCGGAAUUAUUGGGCGUAAAGCGCGCGUAGGCGGUUUCUUAAGUCUGAUGUGAAAGCCCACGGCUCAACCGUGGAGGGUCAUUGGAAACUGGGAAACUUGAGUGCAGAAGAGGAGAGUGGAAUUCCAUGUGUAGCGGUGAAAUGCGCAGAGAUAUGGAGGAACACCAGUGGCGAAGGCGGCUCUCUGGUCUGUAACUGACGCUGAUGUGCGAAAGCGUGGGGAUCAAACAGGAUUAGAUACCCUGGUAGUCCACGCCGUAAACGAUGAGUGCUAAGUGUUAGGGGGUUUCCGCCCCUUAGUGCUGCAGCUAACGCAUUAAGCACUCCGCCUGGGGAGUACGACCGCAAGGUUGAAACUCAAAGGAAUUGACGGGGACCCGCACAAGCGGUGGAGCAUGUGGUUUAAUUCGAAGCAACGCGAAGAACCUUACCAAAUCUUGACAUCCUUUGAYCGCUCUAGAGAUAGAGUCUUCCCCUUCGGGGGACAAAGUGACAGGUGGUGCAUGGUUGUCGUCAGCUCGUGUCGUGAGAUGUUGGGUUAAGUCCCGCAACGAGCGCAACCCUUAAGCUUAGUUGCCAUCAUUAAGUUGGGCACUCUAGGUUGACUGCCGGUGACAAACCGGAGGAAGGUGGGGAUGACGUCAAAUCAUCAUGCCCCUUAUGAUUUGGGCUACACACGUGCUACAAUGGAUAAUACAAAGGGCAGCGAAUCCGCGAGGCCAAGCAAAUCCCAUAAAAUUAUUCUCAGUUCGGAUUGUAGUCUGCAACUCGACUACAUGAAGCUGGAAUCGCUAGUAAUCGUAGAUCAGCAUGCUACGGUGAAUACGUUCCCGGGUCUUGUACACACCGCCCGUCACACCACGAGAGUUUGUAACACCCGAAGCCGGUGGAGUAACCUUUUAGGAGCUAGCCGUCGAACGUG
rnacentral:rRNA from 2 species